UACGUAGGGUGCGAGCGUUAAUCGGAAUUACUGGGCGUAAAGCGUGCGCAGGCGGUUUUGUAAGACAGGCGUGAAAUCCCCGGGCUUAACCUGGGAACUGCGUUUGUGACUGCAAGGCUAGAGUACGGCAGAGGGGGGUGGAAUUCCACGUGUAGCAGUGAAAUGCGUAGAGAUGUGGAGGAACACCAAUGGCGAAGGCAGCCCCCUGGGUCGAUACUGACGCUCAUGCACUAAAGCGUGGGUAGCAAACAGG
rnacentral:rRNA from 1 species